GGAGAAGUGCCCACACCCGGUCCGGAUUCACAGCGGAUGACUUCCCACCCCCUGCUUCACCUGCCCCAAGCAGUAGUGAUGACUCCCUCCCCAAGAAAAAGAAGUAAAUAUCCAACAUGGAGGGUCCAUUCAAGUCCAGAGAUUGUGUCUAAACUUGAUUCCAGUAUGGCUGCAAAGACAAUAAUUGAGAUUUAUUAAAAUUAUCUUCCCCAAUGCAAGCACAAUUUUGUUUGCUAUAACUUUUCCCCCCCAAAAAGGAAUUUUUUGUUUUUGUCUCCCCAAAGUUAUCUGUUUUGGAGAAACUCAAUUUCUAGAAAUUCUGUACAGUUUGGACCAACUUAUUUUUGUGUUAAUUAUUUACUUAUGCAAUAUUUAGUGUGCUGAGCAGGACUUGAGCAAUUUUUUGUAGACAAUUAUGGCUUUUUUGAGUUCCGUCCAUAUUUGUUAUUUUCUAGAUGUGAUUUUUUUUCUACUUUGAUUUUUAUAGGCUAGAUGCAAUAAAGAUGUGAUAUGUAUGGUGUACCGUCCAAAAGCUUAUUUCUGUAUAAUUUUUCUUUUUUAUCACCAGAGGAUGUAUAUUUGUAUACAAAAUUACCUUAUUCAAUAUGUUAAUAUUUAAAAAAUUUUCUUUAUUGAAUUGCAUAUCUAAUUGAUUUACAAAUUUAUAUGGCUAUAAUGAGCCGAAAGAGUUAGAAGAUGGCGUAGGUGAUAUAUUUAUUUUAAUAUAUGACUAAGCGCAGAAAGAUGAUGUAUAUUAACCUCUAUUGAAUAUGCAUAUGGAAUUACCUUUUUAUUCUCAUAAUUAUAUUUUUGAUUUUUAUACUAAAAUUUUUUUUUUACUAUUAUUUAUAAUUAUGUAAGCAAUUCUUGUACAAAUCAAUUUACAUAUUGAUGCUGUUGACUCAAAUGUAUAUUUAUAAUUAAUAUAGUUAAUUUUAUAUUUCAUCAUUAGAUCUUCAAAUAUAUAAUUAAAUACAACUAAACCUUUUCUAAAAAUAUAUAUCAUUUGUACCUGUUUUGAAUCCAAUAUACUCCAACCAAAUUUUGAUAAAUUGAUUAACUCUGUAUUUAAUGUAAAUCUAUUUUGUCAUAGUGAUUUAUUUAUACUGUCUGUAUUUAGCCCUGAUUUAAUAAUAAGCCUGUGAUAAUCCUGUUAACUUUGGCUGCUGGCAGUCUCAAUAUAACUCCGUCCAUUCUGUUAACUUGUUAUCUCCCUUUGUUACCAAGCACAGUUUAUAUAUGUAAUCCUAUGUAUACAUUUAAGAAAUUAUUAUAUUAUUAUCAUAUAAUAAAUAAGAUAACC
rnacentral:misc_RNA from 1 species